CCUGGCGGCAGUAGCGCGGUGGUCCCACCUGACCCCAUGCCGAACUCAGAAGUGAAACGCCGUAGCGCCGAUGGUAGUGU
rnacentral:rRNA from 2 species